GAAUAAUCAGCUUCAGUAUACAUCCGGUGGAAGGAAUACUCUAAUAAAUGAUUGUCCAAACUCUGCUGUGCCGAUAUCUGGCUGCUUACCUGAAACGAUCCGAUGUGUAAGAUAGCAAAAAUUGCAGUUUCUAUUCUUUUUAGAAGGACAACUAGCUAGCUGACACUUCCAGACAAGGAAAUGUGUCAUUUUCUGAUUUCGCCUUGAAUGCCUAGUGAAGUAAACUUGUUGGGGUGCAUAGGCGUUUUUG
rnacentral:misc_RNA from 1 species